CAGAGACAGAAGCCCUGUUAGAGACCAGCCCCCUUCCAAGAUCUUUGUACAGUAUCAUGAGAUAGAGGAAGAGUCCCAAACCCAAAAAGCCUCCUUCCAGCCUAUCUCUCCAUCAGGAGCCUCUGGCCAAACAGAACCUCAGCCUGCAGUCAGGGCCAAAGUCCCAAAAUAUUCUCAAAUACCGUCAGAGGUAUCUUCUCAAGUUGUAGACCUGAAGACCCAGCCUUGUAGUCAGACUGUGCCUAUGAUUGUUGUACAAGACUAUGAAGCAGAGAAAAGUAGUCCAGAAUCACAAAUGCACCCCUGUAUGCAAGUGAAAGACUCUCAGUCCAUUAAAGUUAAGUCACAGAAAGUCCAUGCUCAAACAAAAAUUGACAUAGAGCAUCGUGUAGAAAGCCAGGUAUCUUUACCACAACCUGUGACACAACAACAGACAGAAAACCAGGGGCAGGUGCAAGGUCCAGUAGCUAGCCAACCCUCACAGAACCUACAACAAGCAGAAUCACAAGUACAUAAUGAACAACAAUUAGCAACACAGCCAUAUGUGCACAUACAGCAACAAGAGAAAACUCAGCUUGCAAAACAGCAGAAGGUUCAACCACAAGUACCAAUCCAGUCACAGCCUCAGGGCCAACUAGAAACACAAGCACAGCAAGCUCCAAAGCAGCAGAGGAAAGUAAAGAAGUCCCAGGCACAUCUGCAGAACAGACCUUGGCUUCAGCAGAAGAGUCAAUUGGAAAAUGUUACCCAAAAAUCAGCACCACAGUUGGUGCCGCAAUCUCAGUCAGAGCCUCAGGACAAAUGCCAAUUAAGUUCUCAAACACCACCACAGCAUAUAGUGACUGUUAGCUCACCUAGCUCAAAAAGCAUUGUUGAGAGUGAUGAGAAAGACCUGAAGCCAGCUCAGCCUGUUGCACAAGAGAAACCUCUUGUAGUAACACGAAAACUACCUCAAACUUUGCCAGCAGUUCCAGCACAAUCAACGACUCAAAAACAAACACAACAGACAGUGACUGUUCCGAUUCAUAAACAAGUAUUAACCCAACCUCAGCCCUCUUUAUCAACUCAAGCUCAAACAACUACACAACAACUACAAGCUACUGCACCCAUUAAGCAACAAAAGCAACCUCAGAUAGUGACACCACAGCAACCUCAAGUGAUGAUCCAGAAACAGGCACAAUCUCAAUCCAUGACACCCAUGCAACCACAGGUUAUGGCCCAAUGGCAGCCACAACAGACUAUUGCUCAAACUCAUCCUGCAGUGCCACAACCACAAAGAUUUUCAGUGGCCCAAACAAUGCCUCAAGGCACUUCCGGACCAGCCCAACAGUACCAAGCAUCACCCAUUCAACCACAAAUAAUGUUGCAGAGACAACAGUCACCACAUUGUGUAGUGCAGGCUCAGUCCCAGCAACCCACAAUGCACAAUCCGACUGUAAUUUCCCCUCAACCUAAAGGUGCAUCCACCAUACAACCCAGAAUCAUCUCUAUGCCUCGACCCCAGAUGCCUGUUCAAUCUCAAACCCAAACUCAGGUCAAAGCACAGGGAAGUGCACCACUUAUGAUUCAACCUCAGGGGCAACCCCAGUGGUAUCAACCAGGAGACGUCACCCAAACAUACCCCAAAGUCCAAGGACCAAUUUCUCUUGCUGCCCAGAUGCAGCCACUGGCCCAUUUCCAAACUCAUCCCCAACCUCAAAGUAUCCCUCCAGCUCAACCUCAGCAGUGGUCACCAAUAAGACCAGGCAUAGUGGCCCAGACCUACCCCACUGUCCAAGUUCCAGGUCAGGUAGUCCACCCUCAAUCUCAAAUGGCAGUUUACCCUAAAAACCAACCGCAAUCACAGCCUCAGCAGUGGCCCUCUGCUAGACCUGAAUCACCUUGGUGUCAAUCACAGAUGAGACCCCAAGGUCCAGCUCAGCAUAUGGUUUCCUCACAGCACUGGAGGCCUGUCAGUCCAGUAUACCCCGGGUCUGAAACCCAAGGGCCCAUAGGACCACAUUCUCAGUCCCAAUAUCAAGCCCCACCAAGGCAACCAAGCCCUCAAUGGCAGUGGGGUCCAGUCCGGCCAGAACAUCAGUUUCAAGUCUCUUCCCAGACUACGUUCCAUGGUGGUCCCCAGCCAGUAGCUCCAUGGAAUCAACCACCUGCUCAAGCUCCUAUAAGACCUCAGAUUCCACAACAGCCUCAGCAAAGUCAGCAAAAGUGGAGUUCAUCCAGGCCAGAGGCCCCAUCUGAAACCCUUAUCCAAAGCCAAGCUCCCCAGGCAGAGCUUCAGUCCCAAGAUCUGAUACCCCAACAGCAGUCAGCUCUUGCCCAGGCACCCCCUCAAGCCUACACUGAGGCUUAUAUAAAGGCACAGGCCCUGGUUAGAAAUAGAUUUGAGGAAGCCAAGCACUGUCUUCAAGAGCAUAUUAUAGAAGCUAUCAGUGUAUUCAAGGAAAAGCAAAUGACGAACGAACAGGCAUCAGUUAAGGAGGAGACGCUUCGGACUCUGGACCCUGAACUUCUUGAAGAGUUCUUGAGGGCUGCAGAAGGGAUGGAAGCUUUCUGCACCCCAUCUGAAAUAAGAGACAUGGAGUUUUUUACACAAUCCGUUAGAACACAGUGGAAGGCUUGUUUGUCUGAGGAGGACAGUCUGGCAGAGGCAGGACAGCAGCUAGAAGCUCUGAAGGAGUUGUGUGAUACUUUGAGCCCUGAGGACGCACACAGGCUUGCACAAGCCCAACUCGGAGAAUGUGAGAGACGGCUUGCUGCCAUCCAGUGGCAGUUCAGUGGAGACAGAGAUACAUCUCCUCCAGACACUGGUUUACAAACAGAGCAAACAAAAGAGCCACUCACUCAGAAAGCACCAACAGUCCCACCCCCACCUGAGAAGCCCAAACAGGUUAUUGUUUCAGAGGCUGUUACACCUGUUAGCCCCCAGCAACCGAGAUCUGUGGAGAAGAGAGAGAUAGUGAAACAAACGAGUACAGAAGACGACAGGUAUGGAUAUAAAAAGAGAAUAUCUAUGUGUUUCUGUAAAUGAUUGCAUGUGAUAUUGUUUCAG
ensembl:lncRNA